GAUGAACGCUGGCGGCGUGCCUAAUACAUGCAAGUCGAGCGAACGGGCGAGAAGCUUGCUUCUCUGAUGUUAGCGGCGGACGGGUGAGUAACACGUGGAUAACCUACCUAUAAGACUGGGAUAACUUCGGGAAACCUGAGCUAAUACCGGAUGAUAUUUUGAACCGCAUGGUUCAAAAGUGAAAGACGGUCUUGCUGUCACUUAUAGAUGGAUCCGCGCUGCAUUAGCUAGUUGGUAAGGUAACGGCUUACCAAGGCAACGAUGCAUAGCCGACCUGAGAGGGUGAUCGGCCACACUGGAACUGAGACACGGUCCAGACUCCUACGGGAGGCAGCAGUAGGGAAUCUUCCGCAAUGGGCGAAAGCCUGACGGAGCAACGCCGCGUGAGUGAUGAAGGUCUUCGGAUCGUAAAACUCUGUUAUUAGGGAAGAACAUAUGUGUAAGUAACUGUGCACAUCUUGACGGUACCUAAUCAGAAAGCCACGGCUAACUACGUG
rnacentral:rRNA from 1 species